rnacentral:rRNA from 1 species
GAGCUCCUACGGGGGGCAGCAGUGAGGAAUAUUGGUCAAUGGGCGCGAGCCUGAACCAGCCAAGCCGCGUGAGGGAAGACGGCCCUAUGGGUUGUAAACCUCUUUUGUCGGAGAACAAAACCCGGGACGUGUCCCGGACUGCGUGUAUCCGAAGAAAAAGCAUCGGCUAACUCCGUGCCAGCAGCCGCGGUAAUACGGAAGGUCCGGGCGUUAUCCGGAUUUAUUGGGUUUAAAGGGAGCGUAGGCCGGCUUUUAAGUCAGCUGUGAAAGUCCGCGGCUCAACCGUGGAAUUGCAGUUGAAACUG